UAAAUUCUACAGAAACAUAACCAAUGUUGAUACACAGUUGAUAAUACUAAAUAGAACUAGUACUUAAGCUUUUUCUCAGAAGAGAACGAAAACAGAAAGAAAGAUAUAGAAGCAGAUAGAUACUUAGUUCCUAGCACAACCUUUACAUAAAUAAUUACACAGACUCGUGCCACUUGAUGUUGUGGCUUUAUUCUUAAGUUAAUAAAGAAAAGCCAAACGAACUAGGACUUCUAAAACCCAUUGUUUCUUGAUUUCUGGAGGUUGAUCAAGCUGAUCACUGCCUUACUUCAAUUCUAUAGAAGUUCUCACCAUCUUCUUUGUAAAGAGUGAUCAUAGCGUUGAUUCUGGCUGGUAGCAGCAAAAUCCGUCCACUGAUUCCCGGAGAGGGUAUAGCUGCCUCCUUGACCCUCGCAUUGAAAAACCCACCAUUCUGACCCGUCGGUAACGCUCAAAUUACCACUUAGGAGUGCGUGGCCAUGAUAACGGAACCUCAACUUUCUUGUAUGAUUUGUUGCAAGAUUGGUCUCCAAGAUCCUGGCCAUUUCUGCUUCACAAAACUUAGCCCUUGGAAGAUUGUAAUUUGAGUUGCACUUCUCAAGCUUUCAGUGUG
rnacentral:lncRNA from 1 species